rnacentral:rRNA from 1 species
GUGCCAGCAGCCGCGGUAAUACGUAGGUGGCAAGCGUUGUCCGGAUUUAUUGGGCGUAAAGGGAGCGCAGGCGGUGACUUAAGUCUGAUGUGAAAGCCCACGGCUCAACCGUGGAAGGUCAUUGGAAACUGGGUCACUUGAGUGCAGAAGAGGAAAGUGGAAUUCCAUGUGUAGCGGUGAAAUGCGUAGAUAUAUGGAGGAACACCAGUGGCGAAGGCGACUUUCUGGUCUGUAACUGACGCUGAGGCUCGAAAGCGUGGGGAGC